ACAGAGGGGGCAAGCGUUAUUCGGAAUUAUUGGGCGUAAGGGGCGCGUAGGCGGCCUGGCAAGUGGAAGGUGAAAUCCCUCGGCUUAACCGAGGAACUGCCUCCCAAACUGCUUGGCUCGAGACCGGGAGAGGUGAGUGGAAUUCCCAGUGUAGCGGUGAAAUGCGUAGAGAUGUGGAGGAACACCAAUGGCGAAGGCAGCCUUCUGGGCCAACACUGACGCUCAUGCACGAAAGCGUGGGGAGCAAACAGGA
rnacentral:rRNA from 1 species